UACAGAGGUCUCAAGCGUUGUUCGGAUUCAUUGGGCGUAAAGGGUGUGUAGGCGGCGCGCUAAGUCGGGUGUGAAAUUUCGGAGCUUAACUCCGAAACUGCAUUCGAUACUGGCGUGCUUGAGGACUGGAGAGGAGACUGGAAUUCAUGGUGUAGCAGUGAAAUGCGUAGAUAUCGUAAGGAAGACCAAUGGCGAAGGCAGGUCUCUGGACAGUUCCUGACGCUGAGACACGAAAGUCAGGGGAGCAAACAGG
rnacentral:rRNA from 1 species